AUCGCGUGGGGGCACCCUGACCGCAAUGCCGCGUGAGUGAAGAAGGCCUUCGGGUUGUAAAGCUCUUUUGUCAGGGAAGAAACACCGGCUCUAACACAGUCCGGGAAUGACGGUACCUGAAGAAUAAGCACCGGCUAACUACGUGCCAGCAGCCGCGGUAAUACGUAGGGUGCAAGCGUUAAUCGGAAUUACUGGGCGUAAAGCGUGCGCAGGCGGUUAUACAAGACAGGCGUGAAAUCCCCGGGCUUAACCUGGGAAUGGCGCCUGUGACUGUAUAGCUAGAGUGCGUCAGAGGGGGGUAGAAUUCCACGUGUAGCAGUGAAAUGCGUAGAUAUGUGGAGGAAUACCAAUGGCGAAGGCAGCCCCCUGGGAUAACACUGACGCUCAUGCACGAAA
rnacentral:rRNA from 1 species